rnacentral:rRNA from 1 species
AAGGAUCACAUAGAUCUUAAACUGAAGAGUUUGAUCAUGGCUCAGAUUGAACGCUGGCGGCAGGCCUAACACAUGCAAGUCGAGCGG